AUUAGCUUUCUUGUUUACUUUUCAGGAUUUUUUUCCCCUCUUCAUUUAUACUUUAAACUGCCAGUUUCAUCACGUCCCUCAGCCUUUGUCAGAUUCUGGAGUUGUUGUUUGCCUUUUGAGGGACAACUCUUUCUAAGCCACAGUCCUAUAUGGUUCUCAACUGGUGGGUCGGGGGCCUAAAGCAGGUCGUGGAACUGUUUCAGAAAACCACCAGCCACCAGGCCAUUGUGGCUUAGCUGCUGUACUCUCUUCAGGAUGGAGCAAAGUGAUAGCCAGCUCAAUGCCCCUCUAAACAAAGUGGUGCAUGCCACGUGUGGGAAGUGUAUAACUCAAGGGACAGUGUCACUCAUGGUGCAGAUGUAUCUAACAUCAAAUCAACAAUAAUCCACCAGAAGCAUGAGCAAAUGAAGCACAGCAGUGAUAACUAUACAACAGAUUUGAAGUGGCAGUGUCGGUGUGGCAACAAAGCUGUUGGGAAUGAACUCAGGAACAGAGGAGAAAGUGAUGAUGACACAGACAUUCCUGACUGAGCUGUAGCCAGUUUCUCCCAUUUGAGUCCACUUCUCCCUGCCCAGAGAGAGAGGAAGUACAAGAGGUGGACCUAGAGGGUGGCUACCGGGGCUCCAGCCCCAAAUGUAUCUCAAAAGCUCGGAAUCUUUCAGAUCCAGGAACUGUAGUCUUCCUCAAGUGACUCUGGGAUCUCUGACCUCCAGUAACCUUCACAAGCUAUCCAGCCCAUGUGCUUGCCCCAUGCAGUCCUCCGUCUCCCUCCCCUGCAGCAACAAGAGCACCUCUUCUCAGGGAUAUCACACCACUGAGCAAGGAAAGGUCAGACUGUUUGUCUGCGUCUGUAAAGUUUUCCAGCUGAGCUCCUCCAACCAAACAUCAAGCCAGCGGGUUCACAUCUGGAGCUUAUGUGGGAGAUAGACAUCAAGAAGUCAGGCCUUCAAGCUGUUACAAGUGGCCCUCCUCCUGACCCUCAGCACUCCAUUUUGUCCGUCUCUCAUCGGCCGUAGCUUAGGCAUGUGGCAACAAAGCUCUGCUGUGGUCAGAUGGCAUCUGUCCCUUCAAUAAUCCUGGCCUUAUCGCUACACAUCAAAGCGUUAAAGGCUUGCAUAAUUGAGUUAACGAGUGUGUUGGUAAGUAACCUGAUCCUUUAUUCCCCACAAGGAGCGCGGUCGCAGUGUGUGACCACAGAGAGACACGAUGAGAGAGAGGGAGACGUCCCUAAAGCCCUGCAACAACUGUGGGUUCAUGCUGUGGGCCUGGCAAGCUGCACAGUGCCCGGGGCCAGAACCGGGCUAAUGAAGAAACAACAGUGGGGUAAUGCUGGUGUGGAGCUGGAGCCGCUGCAGCGUGCCCACUGCACAACUGCCCCGGUCAGCACUGGCACUGGCCAGAGCGCCAGUUGUCACGGCCUUAAUCCUGCCUGCUGAAUGACCUCAUCUUUGCCUGCCUGCCUCCCUGCAGCUGCUGCCUGCCAUGGCUCGGUACUGCAACAAGACAUGGAGUGACCUCACGCUGCACACAUGAUAACAUGCAAAGCAAGCAGAUAGGCUUGUGUUUUACUCAAAACAUGCAAAACUUUAAAGUACACAUAGUCAAGGUUGCAGGACUUACCCACUGUUAUGAUGGCUAGAACUAAUUUCAUGAAGAUAAUUUAGGCCUAUUCAAACUUUUCAGUUUGUUGAUUCAUUCACUGGCUGCUACCAGCCAAACACUGGUAUACCAAGGCUGUCACAAAAUAACACUCACUCAUGACCCUGUCUGUGAUUAAUCCUUGAAAACUGAAGUGACUGUUGAUGUGAAUUCUUAAGCAGCCACUCUGUUGUAACUUUAAUCUUUACCUGUACUUCACGUCAUGCUGUAGGAUUUCUUCUUUUAAAUAUUUCCUGUCCUUGAGGCUAAAAUGUUUUUGUUUUUUUUACAUUUUGAAUGCUCCUACAAUAGUAGGAUGCUGCUAUUGCACUCUUUGUAUAUC